UGUUUGAUAUCACCGAAAUAUUUUGAUUUCGGCAGAAGGCGAAAUGGGGGAGAAAUCUGAAAUUUUGAACCUUGCUAGAUAGAUAAGCCAAGAGUUCUAUGUAAUUCUCUGUGUAUGUUCGAUAAAGUCCCGCCAACCCACCAAAGCUUAUCAGUGAAAUCAAGUAAAGAUGACCAAUUAUAAACAGAUCAGAGUCAAGAGUUUUGAGCAAAAAUAAGUAAAAGAAAGGGGGAGGGGGGAGUAAGUCAUUGAUGAUGAAAGGCCAAUAAAAGAUGUUAAUACAUUCAUAUUAAUUAUGUUCACCGGAAUACGGAAGUAAAGAUUUUCUUUUCUUACUCAUGGAAUAAUACGUGAAUAUCCAAGUCAUUUUCCCGCAGUUUUGGACCUGUACUGUACCAACCGACAACAUGCUCCUUGGCUGA